UUAUGGCCACUGUGGGGAUUGAGAUUCACGGUGCCUCUUUCUGCUUUCACAGAACCCAUCAUAUCUCAUUUAACAGUUGAUACAUGUCUAAAUAUAAAUAUGUGAACGAGACCCCUGUACAGGGCUCAUACACUCUUAGAGAAAAGGGUUCCAAAUGGGUUCUUUGGCUGUCCCCAUAGGAGAACCCUUUUUUGUUCCAGGUAUAACUGUUUUGGAUUCUAUUUAGAACCCUCUGUGGAAAAUGUUCUACAUGGCACCCAAAAGGAAUUUACCUAUAAUCAAAGGGGUUCUACCUGGAACCAAAAAUGGUUCUUCAAAAGGUUCUCCUAUGGGAACAGCCGAAGAACCCUUUCAGGUUCCAGAUGGCACCUUUUUUUUCUAAGAGUGUAGGACUCCCUCAUAGAAGACCAGGCUACUCUAAGCAAGUAUUACCCAUCCUUCUUUUUCAUUUCAAAACCCAUUUUUCAAACAAGUCUGCUGAGAUCGUUCAUAUUUCAAAGUCCUUUUUUCAAAAGCUUCAGUUGUGUUUCAUCCCUGCAGCUCUUUCCUAAAGGCGGCGGAGAGAUGGGCUGGUGAGGGGUAAGGAGGGGGAGCUGCUAGCCUCACAGCAGACACACACUGGGGCUGGGCCCCUAUGGACCCCCGGGUGACCUGCAUGCUCAAACACCUCCCUCUCCCAGCACGGGACCAGCCACAGCAUCAGUUUCACUCGCUCAUGUCCCAUCUCCCAGUACUCAGUGGUGGUGUGGGGUUAGGAUUCAUCCCUAAAUGUGUGUGAUUUCACAUGAGAGAGAUUGUGUGUGUGUGAGAGAAUAAGACUGUGUGUGUGUGUUGGUGUAUUUCCAAAGCAUCCGAUGAAAAAGACUAAAACAUUUUUAAUAGAAUAUGUCAUGUCUAGGGACAGCUCUUCUUUUUUCUCCAAAAGGCACAGUGACUGGCCUGUUUAAAUUAUUCAUGUACACAAGGAAGAGAGUCAGUGGGAGAGACAGAUACAAAGAGACCAGAGGAGUCUGGUAGGAGGAGCUACUGUGCAUUCGGAAAGUAUUCAGACCCCUUGACUUUUUACACAUUUUGUUACGUUACAGCAUUAUUAUAAAAUGUAUUAAAUAGUGUUUUCCCCCUCAUCAAUCUACACACAAGCCCCAUAAUUGCAAAGCAAAACCAGUUUUUUUGAAAAUGUAUUCAGACCCUUUAGUCAGGACUUUGUUGACUUUGACUUUGGCAGCGAUUACAGCCUCUAGUCUUCAUGGGUGUGACGCUACAAGCUUGGCACACCUGUAUUUGGGGAGUUUCUCCCAUUCUUCUCUGCAGAUGCUCUCAAGAUCUGUCAGGUUGGAUGGGGAGCGUCACUGCACAGCUAUUUACAGAUCUCGCCAGAGAUGUUAGAUUGGGUUCAUGUCCAGUCUGUGGCUGGCCCACUCAAGGACAUUCAGAGACUUGACCUGAAGCCACUCAUGCGUUUUCUUGUCUGUGUGCAUAGGGUCGUUGUCCUGUUGGAAGGUGAACCUUCGCCCCAGUCUAAGGUCCUGAGCAGGUUUUCACCAAGGAUCUCUCUGUACUUUGCUCCGUUCAUCUUUCUCUCAACCCUGACUAGCCUCCCAGUCCCUGCCACUGAAGAACAUCCCCACAGCAUGAUGCUGCCACCACCAUGCUUCACCGUAGGGAUGGUGCCAGGUUUCCUCUAGAUGUGACGCUUGGCAUUCAUGCGAAAGAGUUCAAUCUUGGUUUCAUCAGAGCAGAGAAUCUUGUUUCUCAUGGUCUGAGAGUCGUUAGGUGCCUUUUGGCAAACUCCAAGCGUCAUGUGCCUUUUACUGAGGAGUGGCUUCCGUCUGGCCACUCUACCAUAAAAGCCUGAUUUGGGGAGUGCUGCAGAGAUGAUUGUCCUACAGGAAGGUUCUCCCAUCUCCACAGAGGAGCUCUGGAGCUCUGUCAGAGUGACCAUCGUUUUCUUUGUCCCUUCCUGACUAAGGCCCUUCUCCCCUGAUUGCUCAGUUUGACCGGGUGGCCAGCUCUCGGAAGAGUCUUGGUGGUUCCAAUCUUCUUCCAUUUAAGAAUGAUUGAGGCCACUGUGCUCUUGGGGACCUUCAAUGCUGCAGGAUCUCUAUGGACAAUUCCUUCAACUUCAUGCUUUGGUUUUUGCUCUGAAAUGCACUGUCAACUGUGGGACCUUAUAUAGACGUGUGUGCAUAUCCAAAUAAUGUCAAAUCAAUUGAAUUUACCACACGUGGACUCCAAUAAAGUUCUAGAAAUAUCUCAAAGAUGAUCAAUGGAAACAGGAUGCAGUUCAAUUUCUAGUCUCAUAGCAAAGGGUCUGAAUUUUUAAUAAAUUUCCCCCCAAAAAACAGUUUUUGCUGUUUUUGUCAUUAUGGGGUAUUGUGUGUAGAUUGAUGAGAAAAUAAACAACUUAAUCCAUUUCAGAAUAAGGCUGUAACGUAACAAAAUGUGGAAAAGGUCAAGGGGUCCGAAUGCACUGUGUUGGAGGAUGGGCUCAUUGUAUUGGCUGGAAUGGAAUUAAUGGAACCAUUCCAUAUAUUCCAUUCCAUCCAUAUGGUAUGCAACCCCUCACUGAGGUCAUAUGGUAUGCAACACCUCACUGAGGUCAUAUGGUAUGCAACACCUCAGUGAGGUCAUAUGGUAUGCAACACCUCAGUGAGGUCAUAUGGUAUGCAACACCUCAGUGAGGUCAUAUGGUAUGCAACACCUCAGUGAGGUCAUAUGGUAUGCAACACCUCAGUGAGGUCAUAUGGUAUGCAACACCUCAGUGAGGUCAUAUGGUAUGCAACACUUCAGUAAGGUCAUAUGGUAUGCAACACCUGUCAGGAUUUGGCCAGGAUUGUUCCGGUUUUGGUCACUAGAUGCCCACAUUGUGCUUUUUUGACCCUUUUGUGUUCCCUUGUUUCCAGUUAUUAUUUGCACCUGUGCCUCGUUUCCCUUGAAUGUAUUUAAACCCUUAGUUUUCCUCAGUUCAUUGCUCUGUGUUUGUAUGUUAGCACCCAGUUGGACUCUCUUGUGGUACUCUGCUUUUGUUUUUGUUCUUGGUUAUUUAUUUUUGAUUUUCUUUUGAGGCUUUUUUCCUGCUGUAUGUACCACCUUGUGGAUUUACCUUUUCACUUUUCACUUCACUCUUCACUUUUUGUCUUGGAAUUACUUUUGACAUUGUGGAUUUAUAUUUUUGCAUGAAGUACUUUCCUUUUUACUUCAUUAAAACACCGUCUCAAGUA